GCGGAGGAAAAGAAAGCAACAGCGAUAGCCUCAGUAACGGCGAGUGAAGCGGCUACAGCUCAAAUUUGAAAUCUGGCCUCCUUUGGUGGUCCGAGUUGUAAUUUGCAGAGGAUGCUUUGGCAUUGGCGGCGGUCUAAGUUCCUUGGAACAGGACAUCGCAGAGGGUGAGAAUCCCGUACGUGGGCGCCUGCCUUUGCCGUGUAAAGCUCCUUCGACGAGUCGAGUUGUUUGGGAAUGCAGCUCUAAAUGGGAGGUAAAUUUCUCCUAAAGCUAAAUACCGGCCAGAGACCGAUAGCGCACAAGUAGAGUGAUCGAAAGAUGAAAAGUACUUUGGAAAGAGAGUCAAAUAGCACGUGAAAUUGUUGAAAGGGAAGCGCUUGCAGCCAGACUUGCCCGCAGUUGCUCACCCAGGCUCUCGCCUGGGGCACUCUUCUGCGGGCAGGCCAGCAUCAGUUUGGGCGGUCGGAUAAAGGCUCCUGUCAUGUACCACCCCUCGGGGUGGCCUUAUAGGGGGGGCGUAAUGCGACCAGCCCGGACUGAGGUCCGCGCAUCUGCUAGGAUGCUGGCGUAAUGGCUGUAAGCGGCCCGUCUUGAAACACGGACCAAGGAGUCUAACAUCUAUGCGAGUGUUUGGGUGUCAAGCCCGGGCGCGCAAUGAAAGUGAACGGAGGUGGGAACCUUUCGGGGUGCACCAUCGACCGAUCCUGAUGUCUUCGGAUGGAUUUGAGUAAGAGCAUAGCUGUUGGGACCCGAAAGAUGGUGAACUAUGCUUGAAUAGGGUGAAGCCAGAGGAAACUCUGGUGGAGGCUCGCAGCGGUUCUGACGUGCAAAUCGAUCGUCAAAUUUGGGCAUAGGGGCGAAAG
rnacentral:rRNA from 1 species